rnacentral:rRNA from 1 species
GGGUAGUUUGACUGGGGCGGUCUCCUCCCAAAGAGUAACGGAGGAGCACGAAGGUGGGCUAAUCACGGUUGGACAUCGUGAGGUUAGUGCAAUGGCAUAAGCCCGCUUAACUGCGAGAAUGACGGUUCGAGCAGGUGCGAAAGCAGGUCAUAGUGAUCCGGUGGUUCUGUAUGGAAGGGCCAUCGCUCAACGGAUAAAAGGUACUCCGGGGAUAACAGGCUGAUACCGCCCAAGAGUUCAUAUCGACGGCGGUGUUUGGCACCUCGAUGUCGGCUCAUCACAUCCUGGGGCUGAAGUCGGUCCCAAGGGUAUGGCUGUUCGCCAUUUAAAGUGGUACGCGAGCUGGGUUUAGAACGUCGUGAGACAGUUCGGUCCCUAUCUGCCGUGGGCGUUGGAAGAUUGAAGGGGGCUGCUCCUAGUACGAGAGGACCGGAGUGGACGAACCUCUGGUGUUCGGGUUGUGUCGCCAGACGCAUUGCCCGGUAGCUAAGUUCGGAAUUGAUAAGCGCUGAAAGCAUCUAAGCGCGAAGCGAGCCCUGAGAUGAGUCUUCCCUGACAGUUUAACUGUCCUAAAGGGUUGUUCGAGACUAGAACGUUGAUAGGCAGGGUGUGUAAGCGUUGUGAGGCGUUGAGCUAACCUGUACUAAUUGCCCGUGAGGCUUAACCAUACAACACCCA